UACGAAGGGGGCUAGCGUUGCUCGGAAUCACUGGGCGUAAAGGGUGCGUAGGCGGGUCUUUAAGUCAGGGGUGAAAUCCUGGAGCUCAACUCCAGAACUGCCUUUGAUACUGAAGAUCUUGAGUUCGGGAGAGGUGAGUGGAACUGCGAGUGUAGAGGUGAAAUUCGUAGAUAUUCGCAAGAACACCAGUGGCGAAGGCGGCCUACUGGUCCAUCACUGACGCUGAGAUGCGAAAGCGUGGGGAGCAAACAGG
rnacentral:rRNA from 1 species